AGAAUCAACGCUGGCGGCGUGCCUAACACAUGCAAGUCGAACGAGAAAGGGUAGCAAUACCUGAGUAAAGUGGCGCACGGGUGAGUAACACGUGACUAACCUACCUUUUAGUGGGGGAUAACCUAGGGAAACCUGGGCUAAUACCGCAUAAUACCUACGGGUCAAAGCAGUAAUGCGCUGGAAGAGGGGGUCGCGGCCGAUUAGCUAGUUGGCGGGGUAAUGGCCCACCAAGGCAGUGAUCGGUAUCCGGCCUGAGAGGGCGCACGGACACACUGGAACUGAAACACGGUCCAGACUCCUACGGGAGGCAGCAGUGGGAAUUUUGCGCAAUGGGGGAAACCCUGAACGCAGCAAACGCCGCGUGGAGGAUGAAGACCCUUGGGUCGUAAAACUCCUUUCGAUCGGGACGAUAAUGACGGUACCGGAAGAAAGAAGACCCCGGCUAACUUCGCGCCAGCAGCCGC
rnacentral:rRNA from 1 species